GCCCCCGCGCCCGCUGUGUCCCCUCCGCUCACUGAGGAAACCCACCAACCCUUAGCAGCCCCCGCGGAGGGUGCGAUGGCCCCGCGCAAGAACGCCAAGGGCGGCGGCGGCGGCGGCGGCAACAGCAGCAGCAGCGGCUCCGGCAGCGGCAGCACCAGCGCGGGCAGCAGUGGAGGCAGCAGCAGCCCCGGGGCCCGGAGAGAGAUAAAGCAUGGUGGC